CCCCUAGAUGUUCUGGGCCGCACGCGCGCUACACUGAACAGUUCAACAAGUCUUAACCUUGGCCGAUAGGUCUGGGUAAUCUUUGAACGCUGUUCGUGAUUGGGAUAGACCUUUGCAAUUAUGGGUCUUCAACGAGGAAUUCCUAGUAAACGCAAGUCAUCAGCUUGCAUUGAUUACGUCCCUGCCCUUUGUACACACCGCCCGUCGCACCUACCGAUUGAAUGGUCCGGUGAAAUCUCGGGACGGCGGCUUGGUCGCUUGCGUCCGACUGCUGAACUUGAUUAAACCAUAUCAUUUAGAGGAAGGUGAAGUCGUAACA
rnacentral:rRNA from 1 species